rnacentral:rRNA from 1 species
AUUGAACGCUGGCGGCAGGCCUAACACAUGCAAGUCGAGCGAGCGGCGGACGGGUGAGUAAUGUAUGAGGAUCUGCCCGAUAGAGGGGGAUAACUACUGGAAACGGUGGCUAAUACCGCAUACUGUCGGAUGAACCCAUGUGGGAUUAGCUAGUAGGUGUGGUAAAGGCUAACCUAGGCGACGAUCUCUAGCUGGUCUGAGAGGAUGAUCAGCCACACUGGGACUGAGACACGGCCCAGACUCCUACGGGAGGCAGCAGUGGGGAAUAUUGCACAAUGGGCGAAAGCCUGAGACAGCCAUGCCGCGUGUAUGAAGAAGGCCUUCGGGUUGUAAAGUACUUUCAGCGGGGAGGCGUUACCCGAAGAAGAAGCACCGGCUAACUCCGUGCCAGCAGCCGCGGUAAUUC